rnacentral:rRNA from 1 species
AACGAACGCUGGCGGCGUGGAUUAGGCAUGCAAGUCGAACGAGAAAGAUUCCUUCGGGGAUUGAGUAGAGUGGCAAACGGGUGAGUAGCGCGUGGGAAACCUUCCUUUUAGUUGGGGGACAACACCUCUAACGAGGUGCUAAUACCGGAUAAUAUCUUACUGUCGCAUGAUGGUUUGAUGAAAGACGGCCUCUGUUUACAAGCUGUCGCUGAAAGAUGGUCCCGCGUCCCAUUAGCUUGUUGGUGAGGUAACGGCUCACCAAGGCAAUGAUGGGUAGCCGGCCUUAGCGGGUGACCGGCCACACUGGGACUGAGAUACGGCCCAGACUCCUACGGGAGGCAG